GUGGGGAAUUUUGGACAAUGGGCGCAAGCCUGAUCCAGCAAUGCCGCGUGUGUGAAGAAGGCCUUCGGGUUGUAAGCACUUUUGGCAGGAAAGAAAUAGUGCGUGCUAAUACCAUGCGCGAAUGACGGUACCUGCAGAAUAAGCACCGGCUAACUACGUGCCAGCAGCCGCGGUAAGACGUAGGGUGCAAGCGUUAAUCGGAAUUACUGGGCGUAAAGCGUGCGCAGGCGGGUUUGUAAGACAGGUGUGAAAUCCCCGGGCUCAACCUGGGAACUGCACUUGUGACUGCAAGGCUAGAGUGUGUCAGAGGGAGGUGGAAUUCCGCGUGUAGCAGUGAAAUGCGUAGAGAUGCGGAGGAACACCGAUGGCGAAGGCAGCCUCCUGGGAUAACACUGACGCUCAGGCACGAAAGCGUGGGGAGCAAACAGGAUUAGAAACCCGGGUAGUCC
rnacentral:rRNA from 1 species